UGGAGGAUAAGAAUGAGGAGGAGGAGGAGGAGGGGGAUAAACAAGUGUAAGAGGAGAAAGGAGAAGAGGACAAAAAGAAGAUAGAAGAAGUGAAAAUGAAGGAAAAAAUAAUGUAAAGAAGGAGGAGGAGGAGGAGGAGGAGGAGGUUGAAAGAGAUGAUAAAAAAGGAGAAAAUGGAAGAAGUAACAAAAUGAAAAAAAAACUUGGAAGAUGAAAGAAGAUGGAAGAAGUGAAAAUGAAGGAAAAAGUAACACAAAGGAGGAGGAGGAGAAGGAGAAAGAUGAUAAAAAAUGAGAGCAAGGAAGUUAACAAAAUGAAAAAAAAAAACUUAACCAGGAAUAUUAGAAGGAUAACAAUUUCAUACAUGGAUUAGAUUUAUUUCUCACUCAACUCUAGCAAAGGUUUGGAUUUUUAACCUGGUACCAGCCAAGGAUUAAAUACUAUAAGGAUAGCUCACUGAAACAUCAAUGACGUAAUGACUGCAGUACGUCAUCUGGUUCACUCUCACCCUGCCCUCACGGUAUAAAAUGUACUAGAAAACCCUUAUUUAUUCUUAUUCAUGGUCAGAUUUUGCGCUUUUUUGAUUGCUAAGGAUAAGUAAAUAAAUUGGGCAGCUGUUGUGUUGGCUAAUCGUAUACAAUAAUAUGAAUAAUGUGAGAAAAAUGGUAAACAAGCUGCAGAAAUAUUGCUCUGUUUACCAUCAAUGCUUACGUUUUCUUUUAUUGACAUUAGUUUUCUACACCUUAAUUUGCAGGGGUAACUAAUCCUGUCAUAUAUAAAGAUUUUUUUUAUUUAUUUAUUUUUUUUUUUUAUACAUACAUAUAUAUUGUAUAAUAUUUACGCAAGUUUUUAAAUGUUUGGACCUCACCUGCGCAGACUUCACCUUCACUUUAUCUUUUCGUUUGCAGGCCAAAAUCCACUUCUUCAAGGUGUGUUUGUCUCUAGGAAACCUAAUGAGCUUAACACCUUGACGACUUUCUGCAGCUGAGCCACUGAAACACCCAUAUACACCACGACUCACCAUUUUCACUGAGCACGCUCCAGUGAGAACACAGUGAAGUGAACCAGUUUGCCGCCCAGCACCAUUUGUUUACAUGUGUGCCGUCAUCCGCGGUGCAUUGUGGGUAAAACAAAAGCUAAGUGAGCUAUCCUUAUAGUAUGUAAUCCUUGGUAGCAGCGACGGGCCAAAUUUGUGGCUUUACCGUGUAGCAGCGACGGGCCAAAUUUGUGGCUUUACCGUGUAGCAGCGACGGGCCAAAUUUGUGGCUUUACCGUGUAGCAGCGACGGGCCAAAUUUGUGCCAUGAUAUAAAGCCCCCCAAUAUAGAUGAUGCAUUAACUGAUCACAAAUGUUUUGAUAUAUAUUUUGAAAUGGUUUGUGUGAGUGAUGAUUUUUUCUCAUUUUGACCAUUAAGAAACAUGAUCCUCGCUGCUACCGGGUUAAAAGAUGUGAUCGCCUUUUACACAAGACAACAUAAAAAUCUCAUAAAAACUUUCUCCUUUUGAACUAAUGAUAAAAUUGAGACACACUUCAGCCACUCUGCACCAAAAUAACUUAGCAAUUUAUUUUAUUUUUCAAUUUUUAUUUUGUUUUCUCUCUUUCUUUGACUAAUUUUAUGUGCUAUGAAAAUGUUAAGCAAAAUUAUGAAUGAGAAUAAGGUGGAUACUCUUGCACUAAUAUGAUGGAUAAGAAUAAAGCUGCUACAAAUGCUGAUGAUAAUAAUAAUAAUAAUAAUAAUAAUAAUAAUAAUAAUAAUAAUAAUAAUAAUGCCAAUAGUUGUAAUGCAGAAUCUUAGUUGUAUGGGAAAAUUAUUUAUACAAGAGAGAGAGAGAGAGAGAGAGAGAGAGAGAGAGAGAGAGAGAAUAACAGAAAAGACAGAUUAUUGACAUUCUCUCUCUCUCUCUCAACAAUAAAGGGUUUUGUGUGAGUUUUGUGCAAUAAGGAUUUAGAUGACAGUUCAAAUAUCUGAGAGAGAGAGAGAGAGAGAGAGAGAGAGAGAGAGAGAGAGAGAGAGAGAGAGAGAGAGAGAGAGAGAGAGAGAGAGACACAUAA